rnacentral:rRNA from 1 species
CAGAGGCCACGAACGUUGUUCGGAAUCACUGGGCAUAAAGCGCACGUAGGCGGCUAGGUCCGUCCGAUGUGAAAGCCCCCGGCUCAACCGGGGAAUUGCAUCGGAUACAGCCUGGCUUGAGGACGGUUGGGGUGAGUGGAACUCCUGGUGGAGCGGUGAAAUGCGUAGAUAUCAGGAGGAACACCGGUGGCGAAAGCGGCUCACUGGACCGUUUCUGACGCUGAGGUGCGAAAGCUAGGGGAGCAAACGGGAUUAGAUACCCCGGUAGUCCUAGCCGUAAACGAUGGGCACUGGGUAGGGGGAAGCCUAUGCUCUUCCCUGCCGAAGCAAAUGUAUUAAGUGCCCCGCCUGGGGAGUACGCUCGCAAGGGUA